rnacentral:rRNA from 1 species
GCGCGAAAACUUUACAAUGCGAGCAAUCGUGAUAAGGAAACCCUGAGUGCCUAUCAACGCAGGCUGUUCUGGUGUCUAACACACACCAGGAGAAAGGGCGGGGCAAGACCGGUGCCAGCCGCCGCGGUAAUACCGGCGGCUCGAGUGGUGGCCACUAUUAUUGGGCUUAAAGCGUCCGUAGCUUGGUUGUUAAGUCUCUUGGGAAAUCUACCGGCUCAACCGGUAGGCGUUCAGGAGAUACUGGCAAUCUAGGGACCGGGAGAGGUGAGAGGUACUCCAGGGGUAGGAGUGAAAUCCUGUAAUCCUUGGGGGACCACCUGUGGCGAAGGCGUCUCACUAGAACGGCUCCGACAGUGAGGGACGAAAGCUGGGGGAGCAAACCGGAUUAGAUACCCGGGUAGUCCCAGCUGUAAACGAUGCGCGUUAGGUGUAUCGGUGACCACGAGUCACCGAGGUGCCGAAGGGAAACCGUGAAACGUACCGCCUGGGAAGUACGGUCGCAAGGCUGAAACUUAAAGGAAUUGGCGGGGGAGCACCACAACAGGUGGAGCCUGCGGUUUAAUUGGACUCAACGCCGGAAAUCUCACCGGAUAAGACAGCUGAAUGAUUGUCGGGCUGAAGACUCUACAUGACUAGCU